rnacentral:lncRNA from 1 species
CUUUCAGAGGCCCGUCACUGUGGUGAUUGAGGUGGACAGAAGGCAUGGACAUGACCAAGGCCCUUAAAAGACACAAACAGGUGGAGAGUGUGCUGGGGGUGGGCAGAGGGCUGGGGACUACAAAAGCAGGAGGCUCGCUUGGAGAGCAGGGACAAGAGAAGGCAGAGGGUGAGGCUGGCAAGGAGCAGGAAGAGGGGAGGGGACAUGGGACGCAAAGUUGCAGCCGAACAGGACACAAGAGGAGGUUAAGUAACAAUCAAAAACAGACCUAAGAGAAAGACAGGCAGCUGAGAGGAGGGAGCACAGGCGAGAGAUGACAGACCAUUGGGGCCAGGGGCAUACAUACAGGAAGACAAAGAUGGUUCCUCUGUGUGUGACUAGAAGGCCAGCGAUUCAAAGGAGAAGAGUAAAAGGAAAGAAAACAGGGUAUAAGUGAGGAGACAAAACAAGUAAUAAGUGCACAGAUACUAGUUAAAUGCUUUCAAAAUCACCAGGCUGUUAGGCUGAGUUGGAGGAAGCCUCACAGCCAUACCCAGGAGGGGACCCUCAGUAAGACAGAGGCAGGCAAUUUAAGUAGCUAGCUACUGAGGUAAAAAUGAAAAAAAAAAAAAAAAUAGAAAAUGGAAAAGGUGAGAAGCAGGAGAAGGAAAACCCAAAGGAGACACUGGCCCAGAAACCUUUUUAACUUUCUGUAAGAAUCUUCAAGGCCCCAAACUAGGCCAAGAUUCUGACUGACAUUUCUGAGCUCACCAGCUGCUGUUUCCUUGAGAGAAUUCUGACAGGAAGGCAUAGAAAUGCAAGCCAACACUGCCAGCUCUGAAAAAAAAAAAAACACACAAAUAAUAACAACCCAUGCUCUAAACACCUCAAUGGGGCCGAAGCCUGCCAGGGAAGAAGGCGCACCGCGGAGGGACCCGCCUGCAACUUUCCCCCAGGUUUGGAAAAGCGAUGUGUGGCUAUACCAAGGAAUCCUCACCUUAGAGGCUACAGUCACCUCCCAAGGGAGCUGCCCCCUGCUCUGGCUGGUCAAACGGAACCAAGUCCGUCUUCCUGAGAGGUUUGGUCCCCUUCAACCAGCUACAGCAGGGCUGGCAAUGCCCAGUCCUUGGAGAAACAGAAGAGAUUCACCGGAAGCUGAAAUUACCUACUAA